rfam:Vitis vinifera, whole genome shotgun sequence of line PN40024, unoriented chromosome 19, chr19
GAUAGUGAAGAUAUAUCCAUGAUUUGGAGGUGUAGACAGCUCCAAGACUCUGUUUACAGGGAGAACCUACUUGGUUGCUACACUUUUUAUGAAAUUACUGGAUAUUUCUUAGUC